CAGGAAGCACGAGAAGCUGGCGUAGGAGAAGGCUGUGGUUCUGGUGGUUCGGACGGGCAGACUUCCUGUGAGCCUCCUCCUUCCCGUGGACCGUCCGCCUAUGAUGGAACGGGCCAUGGAGCAGCUAAACGUACAACUGAACCGCCUGACCCGCUCUCUCCGCCGGGCCAGAACCGUGGAGCUCCCCGAAGGUUCUUCCUGUUCCGGGAGGAGAGGUUAUAACAAAUGUGACCCUGGCUGACAAGGAAUGUGCAUUGUUCCUCUUUUUCUAAGAGCCAAUUUAAAACUGUAUAGAUGAUAAAUGAAAUGAAUAAACAAUUAAAUUUUUA